CGGUGUGCCUAAUACAUGCAAGUCGAACGCGUUGGCCUAAUUGAUUGAUGGUGCUUGCACCUGAUUGAUUUUGGUCGCCAACGAGUGGCGGACGGGUGAGUAACACGUAGGUAACCUGCCCAGAAGCGGGGGACAACAUUUGGAAACAGAUGCUAAUACCGCAUAACAGCGUUGUUCGCAUGAACAACGCUUAAAAGAUGGCUUCUCGCUAUCACUUCUGGAUGGACCUGCGGUGCAUUAGCUUGUUGGUGGGGUAACGGCCUACCAAGGCGAUGAUGCAUAGCCGAGUUGAGAGACUGAUCGGCCACAAUGGGACUGAGACACGGCCCAUACUCCUACGGGAGGCAGCAGUAGGGAAUCUUCCACAAUGGGCGCAAGCCUGAUGGAGCAACACCGCGUGAGUGAAGAAGGGUUUCGGCUCGUAAAGCUCUGUUGUUAAAGAAGAACACGUAUGAGAGUAACUGUUCAUACGUUGACGGUAUUUAACCAGAAAGUCACGGCUAACUACGUGCCAGCAGCCGCGGUAAUACGUAGGUGGCAAGCGUUAUCCGGAUUUAUUGGGCGUAAAGAGAGUGCAGGCGGUUUUCUAAGUCUGAUGUGAAAGCCUUCGGCUUAACCGGAGAAGUGCAUCGGAAACUGGAUAACUUGAGUGCAGAAGAGGGUAGUGGAACUCCAUGUGUAGCGGUGGAAUGCGUAGAUAUAUGGAAGAACACCAGUGGCGAAGGCGGCUACCUGGUCUGCAACUGACGCUGAGACUCGAAAGCAUGGGUAGCGAACAGGAUUAGAUACCCUGGUAGUCCAUGCCGUAAACGAUGAGUGCUAGGUGUUGGAGGGUUUCCGCCCUUCAGUGCCGGAGCUAACGCAUUAAGCACUCCGCCUGGGGAGUACGACCGCAAGGUUGAAACUCAAAGGAAUUGACGGGGGCCCGCACAAGCGGUGGAGCAUGUGGUUUAAUUCGAAGCUACGCGAAGAACCUUACCAGGUCUUGACAUCUUGCGCCAACCCUAGAGAUAGGGCGUUUCCUUCGGGAACGCAAUGACAGGUGGUGCAUGGUCGUCGUCAGCUCGUGUCGUGAGAUGUUGGGUUAAGUCCCGCAACGAGCGCAACCCUUGUUACUAGUUGCCAGCAUUAAGUUGGGCACUCUAGUGAGACUGCCGGUGACAAACCGGAGGAAGGUGGGGACGACGUCAGAUCAUCAUGCCCCUUAUGACCUGGGCUACACACGUGCUACAAUGGACGGUACAACGAGUCGCGAACUCGCGAGGGCAAGCAAAUCUCUUAAAACCGUUCUCAGUUCGGACUGCAGGCUGCAACUCGCCUGCACGAAGUCGGAAUCGCUAGUAAUCGCGGAUCAGCAUGCCGCGGUGAAUACGUUCCCGGGCCUUGUACACACCGCCCGUCACACCAUGAGAGUUUGUAACACCCAAAGUCGGUGGGGUAACCUUUUAGGAGCCAGCCGCCUAAGGUGGGACAGAUGAUUAGGGUGAAGUCG
rnacentral:rRNA from 1 species